CACAGAUAUGGAUAGCUGAGUUGGUAGAGCCAUGAGACUCUUGAUCUCAAGGUUCUAGGUUCGAGCCACACAUUGGGUGA